rnacentral:lncRNA from 1 species
UGGAGACUUUUCGAGGCAUCCGGAGACCUGGAACUUGAGACUAAGCCAUCCAUUUAGUACCGCGUGGAGACCGGACCGGAUCUGAAAGUUCCCCAGUAAUCUGCGAAGCCACGACAGGUUGAGGGAUCGCUGUCGGUACCCUUUUCUUCUUUGCUUUAUUCUAACCAAGAAACACGAACCACUACUGUUGCGAUCAAUCCCCUCGUAGUCUGGUCAUCAAAAACGAGCAUCUGUAAAAGAAAAUCCAUACUGAUCGAAGGCGAUUCCGAUAGAGACCCUCCGACGGUCAAAUCAGAGAGGAGACUAGGCAACAGUGAAA